GGACGAACGCUGGCGGCGUGCUUAAUACAUGCAAGUCAACUUGACUUUAGAUAGCAAUAUCGAAAAGUAGGGUGGCGCACGGGUGCGUAACGCGUAGGUAAUCUGCCCUGAGGUCUGACAUAACCCGUCGAAAGGCGGGCUAACAUCAGAUGAUAUAUAAUCACGACAUCGUGGAAAUAUCAAAUCUUCGGAGCCUUGGGAUGAGCCUGCGUCUGAUUAGGUAGUUGGCGGAGUAAUAGCCCACCAAGCCUACGAUCAGUAGCUGGUCUGAGAGGAUGAUCAGCCACACUGGAACUGAGACACGGUCCAGACUCCUACGGGAGGCAGCAGUAAGGAAUAUUGCUCAAUGGGGGAAACCCUGAAGCAGCAACGCCGCGUGAAGGAUGAAAUACUUUUGUAUGUAAACUUCUGUAAGAUGGGAAAAAUAUUCUCCUCGGGAGAAUUGAUUGUACCAUCAGAGUAAGCCCCGGCUAACUACGUG
rnacentral:rRNA from 1 species